AGUGAACGCUGGCGGUAGGCCUAACACAUGCAAGUCGAACGGCAGCACAGUAAGAGCCUGCUCUUACGGGUGGCGAGUGGCGGACGGGUGAGGAAUACAUCGGAAUCUACUUUUUCGUGGGGGAUAACGUAGGGAAACUUACGCUAAUACCGCAUACGACCUACGGGUGAAAGCAGGGGAUCUUCGGACCUUGCGCGAUUGAAUGAGCCGAUGUCGGAUUAGCUAGUUGGCGGGGUAAAGGCCCACCAAGGCGACGAUCCGUAGCUGGUCUGAGAGGAUAAUCAGCCACACUGGAACUGAGACACGGUCCAGACUCCUACGGGAGGCAGCAGUGGGGAAUAUUGGACAAUGGGCGCAAGCCUGAUCCAGCCAUACCGCGUGGGUGAAGAAGGCCUUCGGGUUGUAAAGCCCUUUUGUUGGGAAAGAAAAGCAGCAGGUUAAUACCCCGCUGUUCUGACGGUACCCAAAGAAUAAGCACCGGCUAACUUCGUG
rnacentral:rRNA from 1 species